rnacentral:rRNA from 1 species
AACGAACGCUGGCGGCGUGCCUAACACAUGCAAGUCGUGCGAGAAAGUUCCUUCGGGAGCGAGUAAAGCGGCGCACGGGUGAGUAACACGUAGGUAACCUGCCCCCCAGUCUGGAACAACUAGAGGAAACUCUAGCUAAUGCCGGAUGAGACCACGAUCCCUUCGGGGGGUUGCGGCCAAAGAUGGCCUCUACUUGUAAGCUAUCGCUGAGGGAUGGGCCUGCGGGCCAUUAGCUUGUUGGUGAAGGUAACGGCUCACCAAGGCUGUGAUGACUAGCUGGUCUGAGAGGAUGACCAGCCACACUGGGACUGAGACACGGCCCAGACUCCUACGGGAGGCAGCAGUGGGGAAUAUUGCGCAAUGGGCGAAAGCCUGACGCAGCGACGCCGCCGUGGGUGAUGAA